CCCGAAACCAGGUGAUCUACCCAUGACCAGGUUGAAGUUCAGGUAACACUGAAUGGAGGACCGAACCGACUUACGUUGAAAAGUGAGCGGAUGAGUUGUGGGUAGCGGAGAAAUUCCAAUCGAACCUGGAGAUAGCUGGUUCUCUCCGAAAUAGCUUUAGGGCUAGCCUCAAGUGAUGAUUAUUGGAGGUAGAGCACUGUUUGGACGAGGGGCCCUUCUCGGGUUACCGAAUUCAGACAAACUCCGAAUGCCAAUCAAUUUAACUUGGGAGUCAGAACAUGGGUGAUAAGGUCCGUGUUCGAAAGGGAAACAGCCCAGACCACCAGCUAAGGUCCCAAAAUAUAUGUUAAGUGGAAAAGGAUGUGGCGUUGCCCAGACAACUAGGAUGUUGGCUUAGAAGCAGCCAUCAUUUAAAGAGUGCGUAAUAGCUCACUAGUCGAGUGACACUGCGCCGAAAAUGUACCGGGGCUAAACAUAUUACCGAAGCUGUGGAUUGUCCGUAGGACAAUGGUAGGAGAGCGUUCUAAGGGCGUUGAAGCAUGAUCGCAAGGACAUGUGGAGCGCUUAGAAGUGAGAAUGCCGGUGUGAGUAGCGAAAGACGGGUGAGAAUCCCGUCCACCGAUUGACUAAGGUUUCCAGAGGAAGGCUCGUCCGCUCUGGGUUAGUCGGGACCUAAGCUGAGGCCGAUAGGCGUAGGCGAUGGAUAACAGGUUGAUAUUCCUGUACCACCUAAAUUCGUUUUAAGCGAUGGGGGGACGCAGUAGGAUAGGCGAAGCGUG
rnacentral:rRNA from 1 species